rnacentral:rRNA from 1 species
GCCUCAAAGAGGGGGACAACAGUUGGAAACGACUGCUAAUACCGCAUAAGCCCACGGCUCGGCAUCGAGCAGAGGGAAAAGGAGCAAUCCGCUUUGAGAUGGCCUCGCGUCCGAUUAGCUAGUUGGUGAGGUAACGGCCCACCAAGGCGACGAUCGGUAGCCGGACUGAGAGGUUGAACGGCCACAUUGGGACUGAGACACGGCCCAGACUCCUACGGGAGGCAGCAGUGAGGAAUAUUGGUCAAUGGACGAGAGUCUGAACCAGCCAAGUAGCGUGAAGGAUGAAGGUCCUACGGAUUGUAAACUUCUUUUAUAAGGGAAUAAACCCUCCCACGUGUGGGAGCUUGUAUGUACCUUAUGAAUAAGCAUCGGCUAACUCCGUGCCAGCAGCCGCGGUAAUACGGAGGAUGCGAGCGUUAUCCGGAUUUAUUGGGUUUAAAGGGAGCGCAGACGGGUCGUUAAGUCAGCUGUGAAAGUUUGGGGCUCAACCUUAAAAUUGCAGUCGAUACUGGCGUCCUUGAGUGCGGUUGAGGUGUGCGGAAUUCGUGGUGUAGCGGUGAAAUGCUUAGAUAUCACGAAGAACUCCGAUUGCGAAGGCAGCACACUAAGCCGUAACUGACGUUCAUGCUCGAAAGUGUGGGUAUCAAACAGGAUUAGAUACCCUGGUAGUCCACACGGUAAACGAUGGAUACUCGCUGUUGGCGAUAUACGGUCAGCGGCUUAGCGAAAGCGUUAAGUAUCCCACCUGGGGAGUACGCCGGCAACGGUGCAACUCAAAGGAAUUGACGGCGCAGCGCGGCGCGCCGCGCACCACGCCC